ACUCCUGCGGGAGGCAGCAGUGGGGAAUAUUGCACAAUGGGCGCAAGCCUGAUGCAGCCAUGCCGCGUGUAUGAAGAAGGCCUUCGGGUUGUAAAGUACUUUCAGCGGGGAGGAAGGCGAUAAGGUUAAUAACCUUGUCGAUUGACGUUACCCGCAGAAGAAGCACCGGCUAACUCCGUGCCAGCAGCCGCGGUAAUACGGAGGGUGCAAGCGUUAAUCGGAAUUACUGGGCGUAAAGCGCACGCAGGCGGUCUGUCAAGUCGGAUGUGAAAUCCCCGGGCUCAACCUGGGAACUGCAUUCGAAACUGGCAGGCUAGAGUCUUGUAGAGGGGGGUAGAAUUCCAGGUGUAGCGGUGAAAUGCGUAGAGAUCUGGAGGAAGACCGGUGGCGAAGGCGGCCCCCUGGACAAAGACUGACGCUCAGGUGCGAAAGCGUGGGGAGCAAACAGGAUUAGAAACCCUAGUAGUCCCAUGA
rnacentral:rRNA from 1 species